GUCAUGACAAAGCAGAUUUGCAGAAAAUCACGAGAUAGUUGGAUUCGCGAAAUAGUUUAAUUUGUUAUAAAACUUUAAUUUGUAAUAUUAUUACCACGUACCCUUAAUAUUUCGGAUUCACUGCAAGCAAGAACUUAGAUUGUGCUCAAUUCUAUUUGGUAUAGACCUACAAAACCCUUGUUAAACAGUAACUAGGCAAUCAGUGGAUCAAUUUGAAGGUGCACUAAUUAACUUGAAGCAAAUAAAACUUGGCUAUCAAGACGGUGCGGCGUGUAGUUACGAACUAACAACCUUCAAGUUAAUUAUGGCCACUGAAAGACCUAGCGGAUCUUCCACAGUUCUUGAGCAGUCCGAAAUCUUCG